rnacentral:rRNA from 1 species
AAAAGAAAGAGUUUAAUGUUAGCUCCGAAU